rnacentral:rRNA from 1 species
UACGUAGGGGGCAAGCGUUGUCCGGAUUUAUUGGGCGUAAAGAGCGUGUAGGCGGCCAGGUAGGUCCGUUGUGAAAACUCGAGGCUCAACCUCGAGACGUCGAUGGAAACCAUCUGGCUAGAGUCCGGAAGAGGAGAGUGGAAUUCCUGGUGUAGCGGUGAAAUGCGCAGAUAUCAGGAAGAACACCCGUGGCGAAGGCGGCUCUCUGGGACGUUACUGACACUGAGGCGCGAAAGCGUGGGGAGCGAACAGG